rnacentral:rRNA from 1 species
UACAGAGGUGGCAAGCGUUGUUCGGAAUUACUGGGCGUAAAGGGCGCGUAGGCGGCCCGAUAAGUCCCGCGUGAAAGCCCCCGGCUCAACUGGGGAACGGCGCGGGAAACUAUCGGGCUUGAGUUCGGGAGAGGGAAGCGGAAUUCCGGGUGUAGCGGUGAAAUGCGUAGAUAUCCGGAGGAACACCGGUGGCGAAGGCGGCAUCCUGGACCAACACUGACGCUGAGUGAGCGAAAGCCAGGGGAGCAAACGGGG